rnacentral:rRNA from 1 species
AUUGAACGCUGGCGGCAUGCCUUACACAUGCAAGUCGAACGGCAGCACGGGAGCAAUCCUGGUGGCGAGUGGCGAACGGGUGAGUAAUAUAUCGGAACGUGCCCAGUCGUGGGGAUAACGUAGCGAAAGCUACGCUAAUACCGCAUACGAUCUAUGGAUGAAAGCGGGGGAUCGCAAGACCUCGCGCGAUUGGAGCGGCCGAUAUCAGAUUAGGUAGUUGGUGAGGUAAAGGCUCACCAAGCCGACGACUCU